rnacentral:rRNA from 1 species
CAGUCGCCGCGGGAAUACGUAGGGGGCAAGCGUUAUCCGGAAUAACUGGGCGUAAAGGGUGCGCAGGUGGUUUAACAAGUUAGUGGUGAAAGGCAUAGGCUCAACCGAUGUAAGCCAUUAAAACUGUUUAACUUGAGUGCAGGAGAGGAAAGUGGAAUCCCUAGUGUAGCGGUGAAAUGCGUAGAUAAUAGGAGGAAUACCAGUGGCGAAGGCGACUUUCUGGACUGCAACUGACACUGAGGCACGAAAGCGUGGGGAGCAAACAGGAUUAGAUACCCCCGUAGUCCCUGUCUCUUAUACC